rnacentral:ncRNA from 1 species
UAUUGGAAUAUUGUUUUUCUAACAAUCCUUUACCAGUUAAAUGUACAACUUGAUAGUUUUCAUUAAGUGCGUCUAAAUUGUGUCGUAUGAUUUCAUUUAAUUUUUUACUGCCUAGACUCCCGCCCAUAACGAGCAGAACUUUUUUAUCCUUAAUGAAUUUAGUAAGUUGAUAACC